rnacentral:rRNA from 1 species
GACGAACGCUGGCGGCGUGCUUAACACAUGCAAGUCGAACGGAUAGGCCCUGCUUUUGUGGGGUGCUCGAGUGGCGAACGGGUGAGUAACACGUGAGUAACCUGCCCUUGACUUUGGGAUAACUUCAGGAAACUGGGGCUAAUACCGGAUAGGAGCUCCUGCUGCAUGGUGGGGGUUGGAAAGUUUCGGCGGUUGGGGAUGGACUCGCGGCUUAUCAGCUUGUUGGUGGGGUAGUGGCUUACCAAGGCUUUGACGGGUAGCCAGCCUGAGAGGGUGACCGGCCACAUUGGGACUGAGAUACGGCCCAGACUCCUACGGGAGGCAGCAGUGGGGAAUAUUGCACAAUGGGCGGAAGCCUGAUGCAGCAACGCCGCGUGCGGGAUGACGGCCUUCGGGUUGUAAACCGCUUUCGCCUGUGACGAAGCGUGAGUGACGGUAAUGGGUAAAGAAGCACCGGCUAACUACGUG